UAAUGAUGAUGAUGAUGAUGAUGGCAAUGAUGAGGAUGUUGAUAUUACGGCGUUGGCAUCGUGUUAAACUACUAUCUUCAUCAUCACUGCCACCACCAGCAUACAAG
rnacentral:pre_miRNA from 1 species